GUGUGUGUGUGUGUGUGCGCAGGUCACUGGGGGGGUCAAGGAGGUCCGGCGAACCCCAAUCUCUGUCCCAGAGUACCUGCAGCUCAGUCUGGAGGAGGCCUUCUUCCUGGUCUACAGUCUGGGCUGCCUGUCGGUCUACCUGAACCAGGAGCCCCUGUCAGUCAUCCAGCUGUGGAGGAAGUUCCGGUCCCUGCGGCCCGACUUCAUCAGCUCGUUCUCAGCCUAUCAGCACUAUCGGAGCAGGGGCUGGGUCCCUAAAGGGGGCGGGGCCAAGUAUGGGGUUGACCU